AUGGUUUGACAGUCAUGCCACAUUUAAAGUCCCUCUAUUACCUUUCUUCCCUGUUCUAAUUCUCAGUUUGAACUUCAGCAGAUCAUCUUAACCAGGUCUACAAGUAUAAGAUUUUUUAUCCUAUAAAUAUUUUGCUAAAUUGUCACUGUAAUUAUUUUAAAAAAAGUUCUAACCACUGUAGUUGUAUCUGUUUAUUAAAAGCAUCCUACUAGUCAGAGACUUUACCGUUGACCAUUGCUAGAUAGUUUGAUGUCUUGAUGUCUUGCUUUUGUGAAAUAUAUAUGCACCUCAUUUACACUUUUCUAAUCCCCAAUCAUAGGUCAUCAGUCCAACGUGAAAGACAAAUGGAGGCAUCCCGGUGAUUCGUGUCCAUGACCUCCAUAAACGUCCCUGAUCCCAGAGCAUGACGGGCAGUAAUUGCAAGCGGCGAACGGAGGAUGAAAGACGCCUCAGAUCCCGCAGGCCACUCAGAUGUACCUGCCGCCGUAACAAGCGGGAGCUGCUGCUCACAAGUACCCAGAUCCCAACUUUGACAAGGCGCCGAGGAGGGACAGCGCCACUCCUGGAAUGCCCUUUUGUUUUUUGCAUUGCAGCCCCAUUUACCGCCAGACAAUAAAUCUUCCCCAUGCAAAUUUUUAUCUCUCUUAAAUGCAUAAUGCCUCCUGAAGGUUAACAUGGAUUGUGGCGGAAUUUAGCAUUUCAGCCACAAAAAUAGUGUCCGCGCCGAGGAAAUAAGCCAUGCAGAUAAACCGGCAAUCCAGUGGGGGAUUAGUGACGAUGAGUGAUUUUAUGUUGGUUGUUACAGUUUAAUGGCUCUUCCGCUGUAAAUGCUUGAAAUAAAACCCAUUAAAGUUUUUUAGUGUACACUGUCUCUACACCGUCGCACUUCCACAAAACCAUUUGAA